rnacentral:lncRNA from 1 species
AUGCUCCAGCUGUGGGAAAAGAUUCAGCUGUGGCUUCUCCAUCAACAUGAGAUGCAAAUCCCAGGGGCAGCAUUGGGAAGGCACUUGGACACAUCCAGCUGUGGGUUGCUUGCUCUUAAUAUAAAGGACCUGAGCUUCAUUUUCAUUCAGGUUCCUGGAGAGGUGGCCAUUAUUUGCACUGAAGAAGAAGCAAUAGAAGGACUCAGAAGACUGGUGGCCUGGAAGAAGAGGAGCAGGAAGACUGCAUGUCCAGUGGACAGGAGACCCUACAAGUCUAAGGGACAGAGACAUGGCAAGUUCCAAAGGGACUGGCAGCCAUUCUUACUGAUUUCUUGUUGA